AAUGAACGUUGGCGGCGUGGAUUAGGCAUGCAAGUCGUGCGAGAAUCGUAGCAAUACGAGGACAGCGGCGAAAGGGAGAGGAACACGUGGAUACGUACCCUCGGGCCCAGGAUAGCCAUGGGAAACUAUGGGUAAUACUGGAUAACAUCUCCGGAUCAAAGGUGUGAUUCCGCCCGGGGAGCGGUCCGCGUCCUAUUAGCUAGUUGGUGAGGUAACGGCUCACCAAGGCGAAGAUGGGUACGAGAUGUGAGAGCAUAAUCUCGCUCAUUGGGACUGAGACACUGCCCAGACACCUACGGGUGGCUGCAGUCGAGAAUCUUCGGCAAUGGGGGAAACCCUGACCGAGCGACGCCGCGUGCGAGAUGAAGGCCUUCGGGUUGUAAAUCGCUGUCGUAGGGGAGGAAAUGCCGGUGGGUUCUCCCAUCGGUUUGACCUAUCCUAGGAGGAAGGACGGGCUAAGUUCGUGCCAGCCGCCGCAGUAACAC
rnacentral:rRNA from 1 species